UUCUGAUCAAAGAAUUUGUGGUAUUAAAUGGUCUUGCUUCGGCAUGUCACUAUUUACAGUGCCGGUUUAGAGACAGCACCUUGAAAGGAUGGAUAUUCUCUUGCAAGAUGCACGAUAAGCUUUGAAUCAGAGGCCACCAUGUGGUGCGUCUCUUCCAUACCUAGAAUACACAGGUCCUGAACUUAAAUGAUGGAAGUGGAAGUACUAUUCUUCUUCUCACCUUGACAUCUUAUAACCCACUCAGAGAAUUUUUAUUUCCUCCCCCAUGACUUUGAUCUCUGCUGGAUUGGAAAUAUCGUUCCCAAAGGACAAAUGUUCUACCAAGGGUGCAGCAAUAAUUCCAGUGAUUUGGAAGAUGAGACUGUCACCAGGUCAUCUGGGAGUUUCUUAUGCUUCUGAACCAACAGGCAAAAAAGAGAGUUACUAUACUGGCUAGGAUGACUGAUCCUGAUUUCAGUUAGCAAAUUGGAUUGCUGCUACAAGAUAAGAGUAGGGAGGGCUGUUUCUGGAAUCAAGGAGAGUCUUUAAGAGGCUACUUAGGUGCUUCUAUAUCUGAUAGUAAAUGUUAAUUAAAAACUACUGCAAACAAAGGGAGGCAAAACUACUAUAUAUUCAUAUACUUCAGGAAUGAAGGCUUGUGUUACUUCACCAAUUAAAGAACAAAGUGAGGUUCUGCCUGAUGUCAGAAGAAACAGAAUGGGUAGUGGAAUAGCCAGCCUCCAAGAUGGUGCCCAAAUAGUCUCACCUCCUGGUGUUUAUGAGCCUGUGUGUCCUCUUUCACACGGGAUAGAGCUGACUCAUGUAACCAGUAUAUCAAUAUUAUGAAAACGAUGGUGUGUAACUUCUGAAGCUAGGUCCUAAAAACAUAGUAGCUUCCAUCUUGCUUUCUCUUGGAGCACUUGUUCUUGGGGGAAGCCAGCUCCUAUAUUGUGAGGCUGUUUAAGCUCUAGAGAAUUCUAUGUGGAGAGAAAAGGAAGCCUCCUGCCAACAGCCAGCAUGACUUUACUUGCAACGUGAGCGAGCCAUCUUGGAAGUGGAUUCUCUAAUCCUCCUCAAACCUUCUGAUGACUGCAACCCAGCAAACAUCUUGACUGUGACUUCAUGGGAGGCAGAACCACUCAGUUAAGCCAAUCCUGAAUCCCUGACCCAUGGAAACCAUGUGAGAAAAAUGUUGUUUUAAGCCAUUAAGUUUUGGGGUAGUUUGUUACACAGCAAUAAACAAUAAUGGAAGAAAGAAGUUUAAUAUAUCAAAUAUGGACUUGUGACUAGUUAAAUAAAUUAUGUUU